AGAGGGUUUGAUUAUGGCUCAGAUUGAACGCUGGCGGGAUGCUUCAUACAUGCAAGUCGAAGGGCAGCAUUUGACUUCUGGUCUGGUGGCGAGUGGCGAACGGGUGAGUAAUGUAUCGGAACGUGCCUAGUAGCGGGGAUAAUCACGCGUGAAAGUUGGGAAGCAUUACCGCAUAUUGCCCUUCGGGGGAAAGCGGGGACCUUCGGGGCCUCGCACUAUUAGAGCGGCCGAUAUCGGAUUGAAGAAGGUGGGCAACGGCUCACCAAGGCGACGAUCCGUAGCUGGUUUGAGAUACCAUUUCAGCCACACUGGGACUGGAGACACGGCCCAGAUCCACGGAGGCAGCAGGAAUUUUGACAAUGGGGAAAACCUGAUCCAGCCAUCCCGCGUGUGCGAUGAAGGCCUUCGGCUGUAAAGCACUUUUGGCAGGAAAGAAACGGCAAUGGAUAGCCACCCGUGCAACUGACGGUACCUGCAGAAUAAGCACCGGCUGACGCCAGCCAGCAGCCGCGGUAAUACGUAGGGUGCAAGCGUUAAUCGAAUUACUGGGCGCAAAGCGUGCGCAGGCGGGUUCGGAAAGAAAGAUGUGAAAUCCCAGAGCUUAACUUUUGGAACUGCAUUUAAUCUACUGAGCUAGAGUGUGUGUCAGAGGGAGGUGGAAUUCGCGGAAAAGGAAAUGCGUAGAUAUGGAGGAACACCGAUGGCGAAGGCACUUCCUGAUAACACUGACGCUCGCGACGAAAGCGUGGGAGCAAACAUAUUAGAUACCCCAGUCCACGCUCCAAACGAUGUCAACUAGCUGUUGGGGCCUUCGGGCCUGCAGCGCAGCCAACGCGGUGAAGUUGACCGCCUGGGAGUACGGUCGCAGAUUAAAACUCAAAGGAAUUGACGGGGACUCCGCAACAAGCGGUGAUGAUGGGAUUAAUUCGAUGCAACGCGAAAACCUUACCUACCCUUGAUAUGUCUGAAUCCCGGAAGAGAUUUGGGAGUGCCUGCAAGAGAACCGGAACACAGGUGCUGCAUGGCUGUCGUCAGCUCAAAUGUGAGAUGUUGGGUUAAGUCCCGCAACGAUGCAACCCUUGUCAUUAGUUGCUACGAAAGGGCACUCUAUCGAGACUGCCGGUGACAAACUGGAGGAAGGUGGGGAUGACGUCAAGUCCCUUGGCCUUAUGGGUAGGGUUUCACAUCGUCAUACAAUGGUCGGGACAGAGGGUCGCCAACCCGCGAGGGUGAGCCAAUCCCAGAAACCCGACCGUAGUCCGGACUGCAGUCUGCAACCUGACUCGGUGCAGUCGGAAUCGCUAGUAAUCGCGGAUCAGCAUGUCGCGGUGAAUACGUUCCCGGUCUUGUACACACACCACCCGUCACACCAUGGGAGUGGGUUUUACCAGAAGUAGUUAGCCUAACCGUAAGGAGGGCGAUUACCACGGUAGGAUUCAUGACUGGGGUGAAGUCGUAACAAGGUAG
rnacentral:rRNA from 1 species